rnacentral:rRNA from 1 species
UACGUAGGGGGCAAGCGUUGUCCGAAGUUACUGGGCGUAAAGCGCGCGUAGGCGGUCUUUUAAGUCUGGUGUGAAAGGUUCAGGGCUCAACCCGAACAGUGCACUGGAUACUGGGAGACUUGAGUAUGGGAGAGGAGAGCGGAAUUCCUGGUGUAGCGGUGAAAAUGCGUAGAUAUCAGGAGGAACACCGAUGGCGAAGGCAGCCCCCUGGGCUAACACUGACGCUCAUGCACGAAAGCGUGGGGAGCAAACAGG